rnacentral:rRNA from 1 species
CCUACGGGAGGCAGCAGUGGGGAAUAUUGCACAAUGGGGGGAACCCUGAUGCAGCGACGCCGCGUGAGUGAAGAAGUAUUUCGGUAUGUAAAGCUCUAUCAGCAGGGAAGAAAAUGACGGUACCUGACUAAGAAGCCCCGGCUAACUACGUGCCAGCAGCCGCGGUAAUACGUAGGGGGCAAGAGUUAUCCGGAUUUACUGGGUGUAAAGGGAGCGCAGACGGCUGUGCAAGUCUGGAGUGAAAGGCGGGGGCCCAACCCCCGGACUGCUCUGGAAACUGUAAAGCUGGAGUGCAGGAGAGGUAAGCGGAAUUCCUAGUGUAGCGGUGAAAUGCGGAGAUAUUAGGAGGAACACCAGUGGCGAAGGCGGCUUACUGGACUGCAACUGACGUUGAGGCUCGAAAGCGUGGGGAGCAAACAGGAUUAGAUACCCCAGUAGUC